rnacentral:rRNA from 1 species
GACGUAGGGGGCCAGCGUUGCUCGGAAUUACUGGGCGUAAAGGGUUCGUAGGCGGUGCGGCAAGUCGGGAGUGAAAUCUCCCGGCUUAACUGGGAGGGUGCGGCGGAAACUGGAGUGCUCGAGGAUGGGAGAGGUAAGCGGAACUCCUGGUGUAGCGGUGAAAUGCGUAGAUAUCAGGAGGAACACCUGUGGUGUAGACAGCUUACUGGACCAUUUCUGACGCUGAGACACGAAAGCGUGGGUAGCAAACAGG